AAAACCAAACAUGAAACACAAUGGCCACAGGAUGCCUGCAACCCCGCUAGCUCCACCUGAAUCGCCUGCAUCAGGGUCAAUAGAAGUAAAUAUCUUGGGAAUGAGGCAAAUGAAUAAUGAAACCAAUACAAUUAUGGCACAGGAGAAUUUCCGAAGUGUUGGAACUUUACGAAGUAUGAAAUAUCUAAAUAGACAAAUUGGAUGAAAUAACU